GCGGCGGCCCCCAGGGAGUUGGCAGGAUGGCAGAGGGCAAGGCAGGCGGCGCGGCCGGCCUCUUCGCCAAGCAGGUGCAGAAGAAGUUUAGCAGGGCCCAGGAGAAGACAAGGCGGUUUGGGAAGACAUGUCAGCCAGAAGAAAGAGCGAGGGAAGAAAGACAAGAAGGACCUGAGAUAGAGUUUCGGUUUUCCUUUUUUUCUCUCUCUCUUUAUUAAGCCCAACCUGCCUUCUACAACGGAGAAGUUUUGGUUUUCUAAGAGCUGAUGGACUUAGAAGCAUUUGGAUGAACAGCUCUGCUUACCAACUGAAAUAUCCCUAUUAUCUUCUAAAAGUGGAGCACUGCUUUGAGCCCUGGGAAGGCUUAAAGGCAACCAGCUCUCCCGAGUUGAUUUAUCAGCAGAAAACUGAUGGAAUGUAGAUGUAGCUCCUGACUUUAAGAGACCACAAUGGAAGGGAGGUUAUUUUCUAUCAUUUGAGGUCAUGUGAAAGAGAGGAGGAAAAGGGAAAGAGUUCGUGUAGCCAGACUUCGUUACUUCACUUACCCUAACUUCACCUUGAUCCUAGUUUCAGCCUCUCUGAAGACUUACAAAUCUGGUAGACCCGAGAGCAGGGCCUAUGGGAAGGUCUAGCUCGAAACAGUGUGGGCGAGCAGGAGGUACUGGAGAGAAGGCCACACUGUGGUUGAAAAAAAAAAAAACCCUAAAAGACAAAACACUCAUGAAUGAUAGUAAUUUUAAAAAGACAUACCAGCCAGGCACAGUGGCUCACUCCUGUAAUCCCAGCACUUUGGGAGGCCAAGGUGGGAGGACUGCUUGAGCCCAGGAGAUCAAGACUGCAGUGAGCAGUGAUCACACC
rnacentral:lncRNA from 10 species